GUUUGGUGGGAUACUGUUUAAAAAGUAUGGAGAAGCCUGGUAUGGACUUGAUUUCUCUCAGUUCUCUCUGGUUUCUGGUGACCUCUCUCCUCAGGCAGGAUCUCCCUUCAUGGUGUAAGACAGCACCAGCAGCAUCUUGGCCUUCAUUAUUCCAAGGAGUGGGAAAGGAGUGAGAGUCAUUGUCUCAACCUCCCCAGAAGAAGUCCUGAGAUGCCCUCUGAUUGGGCCACCUUAUUACAUCACUGUCACCAGGAGGAUGUGUAGGGCCAUACGGAUGCACAGGGCUGCACGUGUUCUCCUAAUCUUUCGCAGGGAGGCCUGGUCUACCAGGGGCACUGGCUGGGGACUUCCUGAGAGCCCGGUCUCUGGAGGCAGCAGUAUGUGGGCUGUGAUACGGGCAGCCUCUCCUCCCAGCCUGGUUUCCUGCCUCUUUGUCCAACCCUGCUGUGACAGGAAGCACACAGUGCAAAACUGGUCAAAGAGACCUACCUCUGAGUCCCUGCAGGAGACAAGAGCAUUUUCAUCUGAAAAGGUCACAUUAAGGAAGGAAGACCAUGCAAAUCAGUGGGGGGCCUGGCCUGCAGCAAGAGCUGACUGAUUUAAUUGUGACGGUGCUGAACACACAGGAGGCGCUGAGAUGCUGCCUGACUGGUGCCUCCUUAUGAUUAACAGGGCCUUCCACCUUUGGGCCGGGAUCCUUAGCAACUUGUAAGUCCUCCCUUACAACUGACAAGUCCUCACAUAUUUGCUGACGAAGAUUCACCCUGAGCUAACAUCGGUGCCAAUCUUCCUCCAUUUUGUAUGUGGGUCGCCACCACAGCAUGGCUGACAAGUGGUGUAGGUCUGCGCCCAAGAUCUGAACCUGCAAACCGGGUUGCCUAAGUGGAGUGCGCUGAAAUUAACCACCAGGCAACAGGGCCGGCUGCUCAGUCAUAUCCUUUUAACAUAACAGCAUCAAUCAAAGCCACAAUGAGCUACCACAUCAUGCCUAGUAGGAUGGCCACAACCAAAAAGGUAAUAACAAAUGGUGAUGAGGAUGAGGAGAAACUGGAACCCUCCUACACUGCUAUAGUAAUGUAAAAUAGUGCAGUAGUUUUGGUAAACAGUAAGGCAGUUCUGCAAUAAGUUAAACACAGAGUUACUACAUGACCCAACAAUUAAACUCCUAGGUAUGUUCAUGGCAGAAUUAUUCAUAAUAGCCAAGAGGUAGAAACAACUCAAAAGUCCACCAACCAAUCAAUGGAUAAACGAAAGGUGGUACACCUUACGAUCAAAUAUUAUUUGGCCAUAAAAUAUAAGGAAGUAUUGAAACGUGCUACAAUGUAGAUAAACUGUGAAAACAUUAUGCUCAGUGAAAGAAGCCAGACACAAAAGAUCACAUAUUGUACGACUCCAUUUAUAUGAAAUGUUCAGAAUAGGCAGGUCCACGGAGGCAGAAAGCCAGUUGCCAAGGCCUGGGGGUAAUGGCUAAAGGCAGUGGGCUUUCUUCCUAGGGUGAUGAAAACAUUCUGUGAUGGUUGCAGAACUCUGUGAAUAUACUAAAAGCCACUAAACUGUAUACUUAAAAGGGGUGAAUUGUAUAGCGUGUGAAUUUUAUCUCAAUUAAAAAAUAACCUCAUCAUCAGAAACACAGGUGGGCCCCUGGCUGUGUGGAAGGCUGUUCUGGCUGUGGGACAUUUAGAUCUUCAUGCAGUACACAUGGUUAGAAGCUUGCAACUAAAGGCAGCAAUGAAUCCUGCAGACAUGGGUGACUUCUCCAGAAGAACCUGCCUGUCAGAGAUGGCAGCUUGGAGUGUCUCAGGAAAGGUCUGCCGGGAGCAGCCCCGUCCUGGCCUUUCCAUGCACCUGGGACUGGGAUCCAGAGUCCCCUUGACUGAAAGUCUAGGCAAACCACUCAUGGCUUGGCCAGAAGGUUCUGAAGCCAGCUUCUUGUGUAGGCUAAAGAGGAAGGCAGGUGGGCUAUUGGAAGUGGGAGGAUGGCAGGCAGGACAAAGCCAAACCAGCUGACACGUUAGCCACACUGAGGUUGUCUCUGAAAGUCAGUGGUGGCCACUCUACGAAUAAGCCAUUCAGUGUUGAGUGGCAAACUCACCCCAACGCUGCAUAUUUCACAGUGCUAUACCCUGGGGUGGCAGGCAAUGCUAGUGGCCAGCUGUUCUCAAAGUGUGCUCCUUGGUCACCAGCAUCAACUGGGAGACUGGUGACGGAGGAGGGGAAGGGACAAAAUCUGAGGUGGUGGUGGUUGUUUUUUGGUGAGGAAGACUGGCCCUGAGCUAACA